GAGUAAUGUCUGGGAAACUGCCUGAUGGAGGGGGAUAACUACUGGAAACGGUAGCUAAUACCGCAUAACGUCGCAAGACCAAAGAGGGGGACCUUCGGGCCUCUUGCCAUCAGAUGUGCCCAGAUGGGAUUAGCUAGUAGGUGGGGUAACGGCUCACCUAGGCGACGAUCCCUAGCUGGUCUGAGAGGAUGACCAGCCACACUGGAACUGAGACACGGUCCAGACUCCUACGGGAGGCAGCAGUGGGGAAUAUUGCACAAUGGGCGCAAGCCUGAUGCAGCCAUGCCGCGUGUAUGAAGAAGGCCUUCGGGUUGUAAAGUACUUUCAGCGAGGAGGAAGGUGUUGAGGUUAAUAACCUCAGCAAUUGACGUUACUCGCAGAAGAAGCACCGGCUAACUCCGUGCCAGCAGCCGCGGUAAUACGGAGGGUGCAAGCGUUAAUCGGAAUUACUGGGCGUAAAGCGCACGCAGGCGGUCUGUCAAGUCGGAUGUGAAAUCCCCGGGCUCAACCUGGGAACUGCAUUCGAAACUGGCAGGCUAGAGUCUUGUAGAGGGGGGUAGAAUUCCAGGUGUAGCGGUGAAAUGCGUAGAGAUCUGGAGGAAUACCGGUGGCGAAGGCGGCCCCCUGGACAAAGACUGACGCUCA
rnacentral:rRNA from 1 species